rnacentral:rRNA from 1 species
GACGAACGCUGGCGGCGUGCUUAACACAUGCAAGUCGAACGGAAAGGCCCUGCUUUUGUGGGGUGCUCGAGUGGCGAACGGGUGAGUAACACGUGAGUAACCUGCCCUUGACUUUGGGAUAACUUCAGGAAACUGGGGCUAAUACCGGAUAGGAGCUCCUGCUGCAUGGUGGGGGUUGGAAAGUUUCGGCGGUUGGGGAUGGACUCGCGGCUUAUCAGCUUGUUGGUGGGGUAGUGGCUUACCAAGGCUUUGACGGGUAGCCGGCCGGAGAGGGUGACCGGCCACAGUGGGAAGGAUAGACGGCCCAGCCUACUACGGGAGGCAGGAGGGGGAAAUAUUGCACAAGGGGGGGGAGACUGAUGCAGCACCCGCGUGUGCGGGAUGGGGGCGUUCGGGUUGGAAACCGCUUUCGCCGGGGACGAAGGGUGGGGGAGGGUAAGGGGUAAAGAAGCCGCGGCUAACGACG